AUUGAACGCUGGCGGCAUGCCUUACACAUGCAAGUCGAACGGUAACGGGUCCUUCGGGAUGCCGACGAGUGGCGAACGGGUGAGUAAUAUAUCGGAACGUGCCCAGUAGUGGGGGAUAACUGCUCGAAAGAGCAGCUAAUACCGCAUACGACCUGAGGGUGAAAGGGGGGGAUCGCAAGACCUCUCGCUAUUGGAGCGGCCGAUAUCAGAUUAGCUAGUUGGUGGGGUAAAGGCCUACCAAGGCAACGAUCGGUAGUUGGUCUGAGAGGACGACCAGCCACACUGGGACUGAGCCACGGCCCAGACUCCUACGGGAGGCAGCAGUGGGGAAUUUUGGACAAUGGGCGCAAGCCUGAUCCAGCAAUGCCGCGUGCAGGAAGAAGGCCUUCGGGUUGUAAACUGCUUUUGUCAGGGAAGAAAUCUUCUGGGCUAAUACCCCGGGAGGAUGACGGUACCUGAAGAAUAAGCACCGGCUAACUACGUG
rnacentral:rRNA from 1 species